AGCGAACGCUGGCGGCAGGCCUAACACAUGCAAGUCGAACGAACUCUUCGGAGUUAGUGGCGGACGGGUGAGUAACACGUGGGAACGUGCCUUUUGGUUCGGAAUAACUCAGGGAAACUUGUGCUAAUACCGAAUGUGCCCUUCGGGGGAAAGAUUUAUCGCCAUUAGAGCGGCCCGCGUCUGAUUAGCUAGUUGGUGAGGUAACGGCUCACCAAGGCGACGAUCAGUAGCUGGUCUGAGAGGAUGACCAGCCACACUGGGACUGAGACACGGCCCAGACUCCUACGGGAGGCAGCAGUGGGGAAUCUUGCGCAAUGGGCGAAAGCCUGACGCAGCCAUGCCGGGUGAAUGAUGAAGGUCUUAGGAUUGUAAAAUUCUUUCACCGGGGACGAUAAUGACGGUACCCGGAGAAGAAGCCCCGGCUAACUUCGUG
rnacentral:rRNA from 1 species